rnacentral:rRNA from 1 species
UUAGCUUGUUGGUAGGGUAACGGCCUACCAAGGCGACGAUCGAUAGCUGGUCUGAGAGGAUGAUCAGCCACACUGGGACUGAGACACGGCCCAGACUCCUACGGGAGGCAGCAGCAAGGAAUUUUGUGCAAUGGGCGAAAGCCUGACACAGCAACGCCGCGUGAGGGAUGACGGCCUUCGGGUUGUAAACCUCUUUUAUCAGGGAAGAAUAAUGACGGUACCUGAUGAAUAAGCUUCGGCUAACUACGUGCCAGCAGCCGCGGUAAUACGUAGGAAGCGAGCGUUAUCCGAAUUUACUGGGCGUAAAGUGGGCGUAGGCGGCCUUUCAAGUUGGAUGUGAAAUCUCCUGGCUUAACUGGGAGGAGUCAUCCAAUACUGCUAGGCUUGAGGACAGCAGGAGAAAGUGGAAUUCCCGGUGUAGUGGUGAAAUGCGUAGAUAUCGGGAGGAACACCAGUGGCGAAGGCGGCUUUCUAGGCUGUUUCUGACGCUGAGGCCCUAAAGUGUGGGUAGCGAACAGGAUUAGAUACCCUGGUAGUCCACACCAUAAACGAUGAAUACUUGGUAUAGGGAGUUUCGACCCUCUCUGUGCCGAAGCUAACGCUUUA